rnacentral:tRNA from 1 species
UAGUAAUUGUCGAAAAUCGUUUAUAAUUUCGGCUUAUAAGUUAGCCUGGUGCUAUUACUCA